AUGACCUCGGAUCAGGUAGGGAUACCCGCUGAACUUAAGCAUAUCAAUAAGCGGAGGAAAAGAAACCAACAGGGAUUACCUCAGUAACGGCGAGUGAAGCGGUAACAGCUCAAAUUUGAAAUCUGGCUCCUCGGGGCCCGAAUUGUAAUUUGUAGAAGAUGCUUUGGGUCUGGGCCUGGCCUAAGUUCCUUGGAACAGGACGUCGUAGAGGGUGAGAAUCCCGUAUGCGGCUGGCGCCCGUGCCCGUGUAAAGCUCUUUCAACGAGUCGAGUUGUUUGGGAAUGCAGCUCUAAAUGGGUGGUAAAUUUCAUCUAAAGCUAAAUAUUGGCCAGAGACCGAUAGCGCACAAGUAGAGUGAUCGAAAGAUGAAAAGCACUUUGGAAAGAGAGUUAAACAGUACGUGAAAUUGUUGAAAGGGAAGCGCUGGCAACCAGACUUGGGCGCUGUUGAUCCGCUAGGGUUCUCUCUAGGGCACUCGGCAGUGCGCAGGCCAGCAUCGGUUUGGGGGGUUGGAGAAUGGCUGGUGGAAUGUGGCUGUCUUUGGGCAGUGUUAUAGCCACCGGUGGCAUGCAGCCUCCCCGGACCGAGGACCGCGCUUCGGCUAGGAUGCUGGCGUAAUGGUUGUCAGCGACCCGUCUUGAAACACGGACCAAGGAGUCUAACAUCUAUGCGAGUGUUUGGGUGUUAAACCCAUACGCGGAAUGAAAGUGAACGUAGGUGAGAACCCGCAAGGGUGCAUCAUCGACCGAUCCUGAUGUCUUCGGAUGGAUUUGAGUAAGAGCAU
rnacentral:rRNA from 1 species